rnacentral:rRNA from 1 species
UCAUGGCAGUUCGUACGCUUCUUUUUCCCCGGAGCUUGCUCCACCGGAAAAAGAAGAGUGGCGAACGGGUGAGUAACACGUGGGUAACCUGCCCAUCAGAAGGGGAUAACACUUGGAAACAGGUGCUAAUACCGUAUAACAAUCGAAACCGCAUGGUUUUGAUUUGAAAGGCGCUUUCGGGUGUCGCUGAUGGAUGGACCCGCGGUGCAUUAGCUAGUUGGUGAGGUAACGGCUCACCAAGGCCACGAUGCAUAGCCGACCUGAGAGGGUGAUCGGCCACAUUGGGACUGAGACACGGCCCAAACUCCUACGGGAGGCAGCAGUAGGGAAUCUUCGGCAAUGGACGAAAGUCUGACCGAGCAACGCCGCGUGAGUGAAGAAGGUUUUCGGAUCGUAAAACUCUGUUGUUAGAGAAGAACAAGGAUGAGAGUAACUGUUCAUCCCUUGACGGUAUCUAACCAGAAAGCCACGGCUAACUACGUGCCAGCAGCCGCGGUAAUACGUAGGUGGCAAGCGUUGUCCGGAUUUAUUGGGCGUAAAGCGAGCGCAGGCGGUUUCUUAAGUCUGAUGUGAAAGCCCCCGGCUCAACCGGGGAGGGUCAUUGGAAACUGGGAGACUUGAGUGCAGAAGAGGAGAGUGGAAUUCCAUGUGUAGCGGUGAAAUGCGUAGAUAUAUGGAGGAACACCAGUGGCGAAGGCGGCUCUCUGGUCUGUAACUGACGCUGAGGCUCGAAAGCGUGGGGAGCAAACAGGAUUAGAUACCCUGGUAGUCCACGCCGUAAACGAUGAGUGCUAAGUGUUGGAGGGUUUCCGCCCUUCAGUGCUGCAGCUAACGCAUUAAGCACUCCGCCUGGGGAGUACGACCGCAAGGUUGAAACUCAAAGGAAUUGACGGGGGCCCGCACAAGCGGUGGAGCAUGUGGUUUAAUUCGAAGCAACGCGAAGAACCUUACCAGGUCUUGACAUCCUUUGACCACUCUAGAGAUAGAGCUUCCCCUUCGGGGGCAAAGUGACAGGUGGUGCAUGGUUGUCGUCAGCUCGUGUCGUGAGAUGUUGGGUUAAGUCCCGCAACGAGCGCAACCCUUAUUGUUAGUUGCCAUCAUUCAGUUGGGCACUCUAGCAAGACUGCCGGUGACAAACCGGAGGAAGGUGGGGAUGACGUCAAAUCAUCAUGCCCCUUAUGACCUGGGCUACACACGUGCUACAAUGGGAAGUACAACGAGUCGCGAAGUCGCGAGGCUAAGCUAAUCUCUUAAAGCUUCUCUCAGUUCGGAUUGUAGGCUGCAACUCGCCUACAUGAAGCCGGAAUCGCUAGUAAUCGCGGAUCAGCACGCCGCGGUGAAUACGUUCCCGGGCCUUGUACACACCGCCCGUCACACCACGAGAGUUUGUAACACCCGAAGUCGGUGAGGUAACCUUUUGGAGCCAGC